CACACUGCCGAGAAAAGCCUCUAGAUAGAAAAUAGGUGCCCGUACCGCAAACCGACACAGGUAGUCAAGAUGAGAAUUCUAAGGUGAGCGAGCGAACUCUCGUUAAGGAACUCGGCAAAAUGACCCCGUAACUUCGGGAGAAGGGGUGCUCUUUAGGGUUAACGCCCAGAAGAGCCGCAGUGAAUAGGCCCAAGCGACUGUUUAUCAAAAACACAGGUCUCUGCUAAACCGUAAGGUGAUGUAUAGGGGCUGACGCCUGCCCGGUGCUGGAAGGUUAAGAGGAGUGGUUAGCUUCUGCGAAGCUACGAAUCGAAGCCCCAGUAAACGGCGGCCGUAACUAUAACGGUCCUAAGGUAGCGAAAUUCCUUGUCGGGUAAGUUCCGACCCGCACGAAAGGCGUAACGAUUUGGGCACUGUCUCAACGAGAGACUCGGUGAAAUCAUAGUACCUGUGAAGAUGCAGGUUACCCGCGACAGGACGGAAAGACCCCGUGGAGCUUUACUGUAGCCUGAUAUUGAAAUUCGGCACAGCUUGUACAGGAUAGGUAGGAGCCUUUGAAACGUGA
rnacentral:rRNA from 1 species